CUUAUGGUAGGGUCCGGGAAUUUAGCUCAGUGGUUUUGCCACCUGCUGAGCAAGUGCAAGGACCGGAGUUCGAUCCCCGGUACCAAAAAAAAAAAAGCUUAUGGUUUUUUCCUAAAUUUACACAGUCAGUUCGUGACAGAGGCAGGCAGUAGACUCCAUGGUUCUUAAUCUUCUUGGUGUUCCUUUGACUAAUUGCUGUCCUGAAGUUGUGACCUGAACCUUGAUGGCUGCUAAGUUGCCCUAAGAAUAGAAUUUCCUUCAUUUCAAUCCAACUGUACUUGGCUCCUUUUCCUGGCAUUGAUUCCUGGAACACAAUGAAAUUGGACCCUCUUCAAGGCAUCUGAGGUGGAGAACAGAACUUGACACAUUUGGGUUAGCAUUCAUCCAAGCUCUGGGACCCCAACGGGGUAAAGGACACCUCCUUACUGGUUCUGAGGAAGACCUGAAAACUGCUCACUGGUACAAGAAUAUGGAGUCCUUGCUGAAACCUCUGGGGCUGAAAUAUCAGAAAGACGAAGGAGGAUCAGAGCAUUCUUCAUUUGACUGGUCUGACUAUGGCAAGUGGAAGCAUCACUGGGCCCAGAAAUCAAUCCAAAGCUUCUAAGCAUGAGAUGACCCGAGGCAAGCAGCAGAAGGAAAGAGAAAGGCAAGCUCGGAUGUUUUCAGAGAAAGGACUGACUGUCCUUCUCUGGAGUUUGGG